AAGGGUAUAGCUCAAGUGGUAGAGUGUAUGCUUAGCAUAUGCAAGGUCCUGGGUUAAAUUCCCAGUACCUCCU
rnacentral:tRNA from 1 species